UACGGAAGGCAGCAGUGGGGAAUAUUGCACAAUGGGCGCAAGCCUGAUGCAGCCAUGCCGCGUGUAUGAAGAAGGCCUUCGGGUUGUAAAGUACUUUCAGCGGGGAGGAAGGCGAUGCGGUUAAUAACCGCGUCGAUUGACGUUACCCGCAGAAGAAGCACCGGCUAACUCCGUGCCAGCAGCCGCGGUAAUACGGAGGGUGCAAGUGUUAAUCGGAAUUACUGGGCGUAAAGCGCACGCAGGCGGUCUGUUAAGUCAGAUGUGAAAUCCCCGGGCUUAACCUGGGAACUGCAUUUUGAAACUGGCAGGCUUGAGUCUUGUAGAGGGGGUAGAAUUCCAGGUGUAGCGGUGAAAUGCGUAGAGAUCUGGAGGAAUACCGGUGGCGAAGGCGGCCCCUGGGACAAGACUGACGCUCAGGGUGCGAAAGCGUGGGGAGCAAACAGGGAUUAGAUACC
rnacentral:rRNA from 1 species